CGGAGGGUGCGAGCGUUGUCCGGAAUCACUGGGCGUAAAGGGCGCGUAGGCGGCGCGGGCAGUCAACGGUGAAAGCUCGGGGCUCAACCCCGAGUCGGCCGUCGAUACUCCCGUGCUUGAGCACUGUAGAGGCAGGUGGAAUUCCGGGUGUAGCGGUGGAAUGCGUAGAGAUCCGGAAGAACACCGGUGGCGAAGGCGGCCUGCUGGGCAGUAGCUGACGCUGAUGCGCGACAGCGUGGGGAGCAAACAGGAUUAGAUACCCUGGUAGUCCACGCCGUAAACGAUGGGUACUAGAUGCUUGGGGGAGCGACCCUCUGAGUGUCGGCGCUAACGCAUUAAGUACCCCGCCUGGGGAGUACGGCCGCAAGGCUG
rnacentral:rRNA from 1 species